GUUGAACGCUGGCGGCGUGCCUAACGCAUGCAAGUCGAACGAAGCACUUUGAAGUUUUCGGACGGAAGAGUGACUGAGUGGCGGACGGGUGAGUAACGCGUGGGUAACCUGCCUCAUACAGGGGGAUAACAGUUAGAAAUGACUGCUAAUACCGCAUAAGCGCACGGUAUCGCAUGAUACAGUGUGAAAAACUCCGGUGGUAUGAGAUGGACCCGCGUCUGAUUAGCUAGUUGGUGGGGUAACGGCCUACCAAGGCGACGAUCAGUAGCCGACCUGAGAGGGUGACCGGCCACAUUGGGACUGAGACACGGCCCAAACUCCUACGGGAGGCAGCAGUGGGGAAUAUUGCACAAUGGGCGAAAGCCUGAUGCAGCGACGCCGCGUGAGCGAAGAAGUAUCUCGGUAUGUAAAGCUCUAUCAGCAGGGAAGAAAAUGACGGUACCUGACUAAGAAGCACCGGCUAAAUACGUGCCAGCAGCCGCAGUAAUAC
rnacentral:rRNA from 1 species